GAUGAAGAACGCAGCAAAAUGCGAUAAGUAAUGUGAAUUGCAGAAUUCAGUGAAUCAUCGAAUCUUUGAACGCACAUAGCGCCCGCCAGUAUUCUGGCGGGCAUGCCUGUUCGAGCGUCAUUUCAACCCUCAAGCACAGCUUGGUGUUGGGACUCGCGUUAAUUCGCGUUCCUCAAAUUGAUUGGCGGUCACGUCGAGCUUCCAUAGCGUAGUAGUAAAACCCUCGUUACUGGUAAUCGUCGCGGCCACGCCGUUAAACCCCAACUUCUGAAUGUUGACCUCGGAUCAGGUAGGAAUACCCGCUGAACUUAAGCAUAUCAAUAAGCGGAGGA
rnacentral:misc_RNA from 1 species